rnacentral:rRNA from 1 species
GGGCGCAAGCCUGAUGGAGCAACACCGCGUGAGUGAAGAAGGGUUUCGGCUCGUAAAGCUCUGUUGUUAAAGAAGAACACGUAUGAGAGUAACUGUUCAUACGUUGACGGUAUUUAACCAGAAAGUCACGGCUAACUACGUGCCAGCAGCCGCGGUAAUACGUAGGUGGCAAGCGUUAUCCGGAUUUAUUGGGCGUAAAGAGAGUGCAGGCGGUUUUCUAAGUCUGAUGUGAAAGCCUUCGGCUUAACCGGAGAAGUGCAUCGGAAACUGGAUAACUUGAGUGCAGAAGAGGGUAGUGGAACUCCAUGUGUAGCGGUGGAAUGCGUAGAUAUAUGGAAGAACACCAGUGGCGAAGGCGGCUACCUGGUCUGCAACUGACGCUGAGACUCGAAAGCAUGGGUAGCGAACAGGAUUAGAUACCCUGGUAG